rnacentral:rRNA from 1 species
UACGUAGGCAGCAAGCGUUGUUCGGAAUUACUGGGCGUAAAGAGUGUGUAGGCGGCGCGGAAAGUUGGGUGUGAAAUCCCUCGGCUCAACCGAGGAACUGCGUCCAAAACUGCCGUGCUCGAGGGAGACAGAGGUGAGCGGAACUUAGGGUGGAGCGGUGAAAUGCGUUGAUAUCCUAAGGAACACCGGUGGCGAAAGCGGCUCACUGGGUCUCUUCUGACGCUGAGGCACGAAAGCUAGGGUAGCGAACGGG